rnacentral:rRNA from 1 species
UUGAGGGGCUUGCUCCUCAAGUUAGUGGCGCACGGGUGAGUAACGCGUAGAUAAUCUGCCUGAUGAUUCGGGAUAACACUUCGAAAGGGGUGCUAAUACCGGAUAAGCCCACGUGGUCUUUGGAUCGUGCGGGAAAAGGGGGGGACCUUCGGGCCUUCUGUCAUCAGAUGAGUCUGCGUACCAUUAGCUAGUUGGUAGGGUAAUGGCCUACCAAGGCUACGAUGGUUAGCUGGUUUGAGAGAAUGAUCAGCCACACUGGAACUGAGACACGGUCCAGACUCCUACGGGAGGCAGCAGUGGGGAAUUUUGCACAAUGGGUGCAAGCCUGAUGCAGCAACGCCGCGUGCGGGAUGACGGCCUUCGGG